AUUGAACGCUGGCGGCAUGCCUUACACAUGCAAGUCGAACGGUAUCGUGUCUUCGGAUGCUGACGAGUGGCGAACGGGUGAGUAAUACAUCUGAACGUGGCCUAUCGUGGGGGAUAACCAUGCGAAAGCUUUGAUAAUACCUCAUACGAUCUAUGGAUGAAAGCGGGGGAUCUUCAGACCCCGCGCGGACGGAGCGGCCGAUGGCAGAUUAUGUAUUUGGUGGGAUGAAAGCUUACCACGCCGACAAUAUGUUUCUGGUCUGAGAGGAUGAUCUCCCACACUGGGACUGAGACACGGCCCACACUCUUACAGGAGGCGGCAGUGGGGAAUUUUGGACAAUGGGCGAGAGCCUGAUACACCCAUGUCGCGUGCGAGAUGAAAGCGUUCUGGUUGUAGACUGCUUUUGUACUGAACGAAUAGCCUCUUUCUAAUAAAGAUGGGUCAUGACGGUACCGUAAUAAUAAGCACCUGCUAACUACCUGCCAGCCGCCGCGGUAAUACGUAUGGUGCAAGCGUUAAUCUUAAUUACUGGGCGUAGAGCGUGCGCAGGCGGUUUUGUAAGACAGAGGUGAAAUCCCCGGGCUCAUUUGGGAACUGCCUUUGUGACUGCAAGGCUGGAGUGCGGCAGAGGGGGAUGGAAUUCCGCGUGUAGCAGUGAAAUGCGUAGAUAUGCGGAGGAACACCGAUGGCGAAGGCAAUCCCCUGGGACUGCACUGACGCUCAUGCACGAAAGCGUGGGGAGCAAACAGGAUUAGAUACCCUGGUAGUCCACGCCCUAAACGAUGUCAACUGGUUGUUGGGUCUUCACUGACUCAGUAACCAAGCUAACGCGUGAAGUUGACCGCCUGGGGAGUACGGCCGCAAGGGUGAAACUCAAAGGAAUUGACGGGGACCCGCACAAGCGGUGGAUGAUGUGGUUUAAUUCGAUGCAUACGCGAAAAACCUUACCCACCUUUGAGGUGGCAGGAAGUUUCCAGAGAUGGAUUCGUUCCUGAAAGGGAACCUGCACACAGGUGCUGCAUGGCUGUGGUCAGCUCGUGUGGUGAGAUGUUGGGUCAAGUCCCGCAACGAGCGCAACCCUUGCCAUUAGUUGCUACGAAAGGGCACUCUAAUGGGACUGCCGGUGACAAACCGGAGGAAGGUGGGAAUGACGUCAAGUCAUCAUGGCCCUUAUAGGUGGGGCUACACACGUCAUACAAUGGCUGGUACAGAGGGUUGCCAACCCGCGAGGGGGAGCUAAUCCCAUAAACCCAGUUGUAGUCCGGAUGGCAUUCUGCAAUUGGAUUGCGUGAAGUGGGAAUCGUUAGUAAUCGCGGAUCAGCAUGUCGCGGUGAAUACGUUCCCGGGUCU
rnacentral:rRNA from 1 species